CACUUUCUCCAUUAAUUAUAGUGUACGAUCUGAAACAAAAUAUUAUAAUGUAAUGUAAUAUUCCUGAAAUCAAUCGGUGUUUUAGAAUGUAACAAAAAUCUAUUGCUUGACUGAAAAGAUUAUUCGAAAAGUCGAAAUCCCCUGCAAGAUAAAUGUCAAAGCCACCCCUUCUGAAUUAACUACUUUUAUCCACCCUUUCGAAAAACACUUUGUACCUUAUAUCCACUGGAGUAUAAACUGAAGACUGAACCAACAUUACAAUAUCAAAAUUUUCCUUAUUAAAUUCAUCUCGAGUAUCCCUAAUAUUUUUCCAAGAGCUUCCAUUACAAAAGCGCCGUUAUUCGCCAUGAUUCUUGCUAUAUUUCCUUCAGAGAUCACUUCGCUUUGCAAACCGGAUGGAAAUGCUCGACCCUAUCUAAUGUUUUGAAAUAACAUCGCCAUGCAAUUUAUUCAUUAUCCUUUAAAAAAAAAAAAAGCGACCGAGAACGACUGUCGACGAAAAUUUCGUGAAAAAACUAAUGGAUAAAAAUUAUAAAUUAAAAAGCGAGUUAUAAAGCCUUACAUAUUACAAAUAAAAAUCUUAUAAAUUAAAGAAAACGUAUUAUAUAAAAUUCAAGCAAAAACUUAACAACUGACAAAUUUCGUUUCAUUCGAGAUAAAAAAAAUUUAUAUACAAUUAAACAAAAUUCAAUCAAGUCUUUUCUAACUCAAUUAACAAUAUAUCGAUCUUUCCACUAUUUUGAAUCAUCUCGAUUUGGCUCAACUUUAUAAUUGUUUUACAUAAUUUAAUAUCGAUGUCUAUCAUACAUGCAAACAAUUUAAUUACGCCUAAAAUGCUCAAAUGUUCCUCUUCCUAUAAAUUUCGAUUAUUCAAAACUUCCCACUACCAAAAAAUUUCUCAAGCAAACGUAUACAACAGACUUAGAUCGAAAAAAAUAAUUUCAACUCCUCUCGAUAAACUCUCCUCCGAACGUUCCUACGAAAAUCUUACGAAAAUCCUUCGAAAAUCCUGCGAAAAAUUCCGCUCGUUCGUGCCCGGGAUAUUUGCACGAGCCGAUCAUUUCUUAACGCCGCGACGCAAUUCGCGAAAACAAUAUUUUUACGUCCGCUUUGCAUCAACCGUGAUGGAAUCCUCUGCCCUGUCCGGAUCGAGUUCACAGGGCGGGUACGGAGGAAAUCGAUGGACGGUUUCGUGUAAAUCAGCCUUUAUCCGAAAUUCUUGCCCGCGAAAUCCUCGUGGGUUGCACGGUUGCCGGCGUGUACGUAGCGGAAUAAAGUAUGCCGUCAGCAGGAAAGUCUUGUGCGACGGUGAACGAAAUACAGGCUGUUGAAAAGUUGGCUGGCACGCCUUCCCUCCACGCUUUGACACUUUAUCGACCUACUCCGCCUUCCCUCCCCCCUCCUCCUCCAAACCAGCGGCGCGAGUCUAAUACCACUCCUCUAUUGCAGAAUUUGGUCGAGGAUUUAUACCCGCGUAAUCGAUUUUGCUAGUUAAUAAAUUUGUUUCCACUCUGUGCGUUGCUAAUGGGGACUAUUGAUCGAUUUGAUCGGUGGUGGUAAAAUUAUUAUUUAUAUAUUCCGCUAUUUCCUUGGGAAAAAGAAACGAUGAGAGAAUUUUAGGUGGCCGUCGAUGUGAUGAAAGUUCGGUAAUUGGUUAUAACGGGGAAAAAUUAAAUUUGGCCGAAUGAGAAAUAUUAAUUGCUUAAAUUUAAUUAAACAACAAAUUCACAACUUUGUUUUACGAAACAAUACCCGAAGAAAAUUUCAUUUUCAAGUCGUCCCUAUAACUAAAAAUUAUAUAACUAAAAAACUUUUCAUAUAUUGAAAUUAUACCAACUUCAGCUUGGUUUCUGGAUCAUUAUAGAAAAUGGGUGGAUAAAAAUGAAGGUGGAAAACAAUACGAAUAAAGAUUUAAAAAAGAUUCGUAUCUCGAUAUAUAAAUAUUUUCAACGUUUUCUUCUUCAUCAUUCGAAUUCGCGAUUUAAAUGUUUCGAGUCAUUUGAAAAAAUAAUGCGGAGGAGUGGUUGAUUUUAAUAGGCCGUUAGUUUGUGUCGCGUGCCAUUAUAGCUUAUGCAUCAGGGCAUUAGCAUAGAAUGGUGGCCGGGUUACGUCCACGCAUCCAACUAAUCCCAGACGGUAUUAAAUUUGUACAAGGAGGAUUUAUCUAAUGCGGCAUAUUCAAGGAACGCGUGCACCAUGGAGUUUGACAAAGGUUAACUAUAUUUCAUUAGUGUCAUUAACGAAAAUGAGACUGGUCGGUUGGAAACUUUGAUAAUAUUGUAAUAACUAGCUGUGCAUCAAGAGAUCUUAUAUUCAAUUUUCUCUUACUUUGUGUUGUAUAUUCUGCUCUUUAAUAUUUUAUAAAUAGAAGUUUAUAACGUUUCAUACAUAUUACAAAUACAUUAUUAUUACAGAAUAUGUAGAUAAUACACAUUAUCAUAAAAUAUUGUAUAUAAAGUAGAAUUAAUACAUUUAUGGGACAGAUUUUUGAUGAAUCGAUUCUAGAAAUGAACAAAAUAAACAAAAAGAUUGAUAUAUAAAUAUUAAAUACUUAAUUAUAAUUUAAUGAAUAAAUCUCAAUCGAUAUCUCUUUUGUACAUCAAUUUUACAUACAUAGUAUGUUUAUUCUUUGAGAUCACAAAUGAUUUCUAGUUCUAUAAAAUAUUAUCAUUACUUGGAUUUCUCAUUUUUAAAAGGGAAAAACUUCUGUAUUCGUGUUUUCAUAAAAGAUACAAUAACCUACGAAACUAUCUUCCUAUUAGACAUACGAUUUCUAUUUAUUCUAAUCUAUACUUAAUCGUUUCGCUUAUAUCACGUUCAAAUAUUAAAUCGAUUCGAUAUUUAAUUUUUCGAGUCUAUCUAUAACACUGUAAUUCGAUUCAAAAUUAUUCUCAAAUUAACGAAAUUGAAAUUGUUAUAAACCAAUUGAAAUUAAAUUGCCCAACGCUAAUUAAAAAGUAAAAGUAAUUAAGAAUUAAAAUUAAUACAAGACACUUUCAAUCUGACAUUUUAAAGAAGAAAUACCCGAGGCACUUAAUAAGCCGGCAGAAUAAAUCCCGCUCAACCAGCGGGUGCACCGAGUGCAUUGUUACAUUAAGUUUAUUAACUAAGCUCGAACAAGUUACGAGGCUCCCGUCCUUCCUUACGAUUUACGGUCAAGUUAAUGCCUCGUGGAAAUAUUACGUCGAAUGACCCGCAAAAUCUUGCAAUCCUCCUUCCUCUCUUCCCCCCCCCCCUCUCCCCUCUUUUCCAAAUAACUUGCGCAAUCGGAAUGGGAACAACCAAACCCCUUGCUUGCCCCUCUUUCCCAACAGAACGUUCGACAGUUCACGCUCGAGCAUCGAUUAUUAACGGUUGUUCGAAACUUCAACUGUUGGACAACCGAUAACAAUUUCCUUCAACUUUCCACGUCUCGCGCGCAUUUUUCAUCUCUCAUCCCACCUUUUCUCGAUUUCGAUUUCGAUUUCGAUCUCGACCGCGAUAAACGGCGCGGAGAUAGAUAAAUCAGGCUCCUCCUGGCGGUGAAAAGUAUAAACCGUCUCGGCAUGGAUGCGCCAUUUUUAUUCAAACUGAAUGGAAAGGAAAUUUCCGAGUACUUCCACUGCUCGUAAUUAAUCAGUGGUAACAGAUGCAGAAGUAAAGCCGAGGGCUUAAGCAGAAGGACUCUUCGAAGCCGCAAUUACCUCGGGCAAAAUAUUCAUUCAUAAACAACGAGGAUCGAGAUUCCGGAUGUAAUUCCAUUUACGUAUAGGUUAUAGGAUUAGGUUAAAGAGAGAAAAAUUCGACGAAUCGAUUAUGAAGUAAUCGAAAGAUACAGAUUAUCUUAGGAUCAUUCCGAGAGAAAAAUGUUGCAAAAUACGUGUAAUACAUUCGUACGAGUGGAGAAGAGAAUUCUUUAUCCGCGAGAUCAAUCCGAAUUUUAUUUUUAAUUAUUUAUUAGAGAUUUGUGUUUUAUAUUGAUUUAUUACUAGAUAGAUUGUUCGAGCAACUAUCACGUGUCUCUGUGCACGCAGGUAGACGUGUUUCCAUUGACCGCAACCACUGAAUAUUAAGCGGUCUAUGGACGGAUGAAACAUGUUACGAUGCAGGCAUCGACUCAAGCAAUGGGUUUAAGUUAAUUGCUCGCGUAAUGCUGGAACUGAUACAGUGAUGUUUCAGCGUUAUUACGAGCCAUUGAGUCAAACUCGUUGAGUAAUAAUUAAUAGGAACAUCCUUAAUCGUAAAAUAAAUUCGUCAGAAUUUAUAUGUCACGUAAUGUCACAAAUUCUUUGGAUUGGAAAUAUUGGAUUGGUUUGUGACACGAUCAGAGACAUUACUGUUUUUUUAAAAAUAGCGCUUAAGUAUUUAAAUGUCUAUAUUCAGUGAUAUAAUUUAAUUAUAUAUAGUAUAAUUAUUUAACAAUUUGAUGCACAAACUGUAAAAAUAUUGAUUGCAAGGUUAAUUUAUUAAAUUAUUAAGUAGUUUAAUGUUGUACUAAAACGAGGCAAAGUGCUUGAAUUAUUUAACUUAAUAAACAAGUUUCAACUCAUAUUUUUGCACAUUAAAUUUAUUGGUUGUUUUGGUAGUUAGAAUAUAUUAUAUCUUAUAUAACAUUUCUUGUUUGGAAAGAUCUCAUAAAUAUAAUGCUAAUGUUUAUUUCAAGUUUUGAUUUAUAAUAUACAUUAUCAAGUGUAACUCAUAAUCUUUUAUCUUUUUCAUCAAUAUUUUAAUUAAUAAAAGAUGACCCAGUUAGAUCAUUUUAUAAUGUUAUUUAAAAGCUUGAUUAAAAGAAAGUUUUUUAAUUUUUUCCAAUUAAAAAACUUAUUUAAUGUUAAUUUUUUGGUCUACAUUUUCAAAAAUUUUGAUACUUAAAAAUUUUCUUUGAAUAAAAAGCAUAACAAUUAUUCCAGAUUAGAUUAGAAAAAUUUAAUAAAUUUGAUAUAUCAACAUCAAUUACUUUUGCUGGCCAAACGAGGAUUUCUUUACAAUUUCCCAAUAACAAUCAUUCCUUUAUAAAAAUUGAACAUUAUUUCUCCAUAAAUUAUUCUCAUAAGAAUUUCGUUUCAAAACAUUUACAAGUGAUCCUUUAUAAUUACAAUUCCAUUUUUAAAACUCAAUCUCUAAUGUGCUAUAUUAAUUAUAUUAAUUAUAUUAAUUAUAUUAAACACACUUUUCCCUUCAAGAAGGAAUUCAGAUCGAAACAAAUUUCUCUUCUUCAACGUUAUUAAGCAUCCCUUUGUUAAAUAGUCUGCGACAAACGAUCCUGUUGCUAGGUGUUAGCCUACAAUCGAUAUAGCGUCAGUGUCUCUCUCUCUCUCCUCUAAUCGAAUCAAUUUUAUCGGUUUAAAGCGGUGGACCGCAAUUGGUCGGAACCGAUUGGCAAGGUAUUUGCUGUACACCAGAAAUUCCGAUAAGCAUUAAAUGAAAAAUAACGUAUACCUCGAUAUUUGUUUCCAUCGUGUUUCGACCGAAUUAACGACCGUCCACCGUUUCCAUUCCCUCUUUUGUUCCAUCACUUUUGUCCGCCAAGACUCUCAGACCGAGGUUCAAAAUUAUUUAAAAGGAAGAACGUGUAUUUUUAAUAAUCCGCCACGGUCGUUCGCCCUCCCCCUCUCAGUAAUUAUUGCUCCAACGACCAACUUCCUUUUAUGCACAGUGUGACAGCCUCGUUUGGAUGGAAUUUACCCUUGGUGGAAUUUUAACUUUUACGAUGGCGCGUUUCUUCUCGCAAUUUACCAGCGGAGUCAGUUGCCAGCGACACCGUUUAAAUACGAGGGUGGAAAUUGUGCACCGAGCCUUGUUUUUCCGCGUUACACGGCCGAGGAUUAAGUAGCUGCGACCAACCAACGUCUACUUACCAGCUAACGAACUGGAUUUUAACCCGGCCGCCUCGUUUCAUCUCGCUCUUCUAUACUUUUCAUAUAAAACGCGAACGUUGGUUUCUCAACUUGGCCGAGAAUUAUUUUAUCAAACACGGGUGAAUAAAGCGUAUGGAGGAUAUUUGAAUAUUUUCAAAUUGAGUCUUGGGAUGGAAGAAUGAAAAAUUGAUAAUGGGGGAACGAUAGAAUUUGUAAAGAGGGAGGGAUGAAGUUGGGAGAAGUUCGAUCGGUGUGAUAGAUGCGCGAACGACGAAUACUUAGUUUUGGAGGGUUGGACAGGUGUGACAGAUGAGUGUUUGGACCACGUGCUUGAGAUUAUCUCGUGGAUCGUGUGGGUGUGAAGUGGAUGGUGGGUUAUGUGGUUUGAAGGUUUCGGUUGAACGUGUUUGAAUAUCUUCUGGAAAUUGCUGCGUCGAGUGAAGGAGAUAGAGAAAUGGAGAAGUUACGUGUGCCGAGAUAAAUUCUUGUGGAAAAUUAUAUGUACACGAAAUUAAUGAAGAAUCGUUUGUGAAAUUGAAAGUAGAUAGAGUAGAUAUCUAUUUAAAGUAGUCUAAAGAGACGUUAUUAUUUUUGGAAAAAAAUAAUUGAUUAAAAUUAAUUGAUUGGAUUUUAAAAUCUAGAAUUAAAAUUUUUUCCAAGGAAAAUAAUAUUAUUAUAUUAUUUUGUUGUUAAAAUAUAGUUAUGAUUGUUUUAUUUUAGAAAUCAAAUUGCCUUUAAAUCGUUAAAAUCUUGUUUAUCAUAUCAUAAAACAGUCGUGUGUUAACAAAAGCGAUAAAUUAGUCGUAUACUAAUGCCAUUACAUAAUUUAGUUGUAUAAUGGCAUAUAGGACAUUGAGCAAAACCAGAAUCAACUAAACUAAUUAAGCAAUUAUCAGUAAUCAGAUAUUAUUGAAAAUUUUAUAAAAAAUAAAAUAAUUUAAUUUUCAUGAUAAACGUUUAACAUUGUAUUUUAAUUUUUUUAACGUCGGUUUUUUUUAUUUUGAUAUUAAAAGUAUUCUACAAAUAUAAA